rnacentral:rRNA from 1 species
GACGAACGCUGGCGGCGUGCUUAACACAUGCAAGUCGAACGAUGAUGCCCAGCUUGCUGGGUGGAUUAGUGGCGAACAGGUGAGUAACACGUGAGUAACCUGCCCCUGACUCUGGGAUAAGCGUUGGAAACGACGUCUAAUACUGGAUAUGACUGCCGGCCGCAUGGUCUGGUGGUGGAAAGAUUUUUUGGUUGGGGAUGGACUCGCGGCCUAUCAGCUUGUUGGUGAGGUAAUGGCUCACCAAGGCGACGACGGGUAGCCGGCCUGAGAGGGUGACCGGCCACACUGGGACUGAGACACGGCCCAGACUCCUACGGGAGGCAGCAGUGGGGAAUAUUGCACAAUGGGCGAAAGCCUGAUGCAGCAACGCCGCGUGAGGGAUGACGGCCUUCGGGUUGUAAACCUCUUUUAGUAGGGAAGAAGCGAAAGUGACGGUACCUGCAGAAAAAGCACCGGCUAACUACGUGCCAGCCGCCGCCGUAACAC